GACGAACGCUGGCGGCGUGCCUAACACAUGCAAGUUGAGCGACGAACCAGGGCUUGCCCUGAGGCAAAGCAGCGAACGGGUGAGUAACACGUGGGUAACCUACCCCGAUAACCGGGACAACCCGAGGAAACUCGGGCUAAUACCGGAUGUGCUCACUGGACUUCGGUUCAGUGCGUAAAGGAAGCUUCGGCCUCCGUAUCGGGAGGGGCCCGCGGCCCAUUAGUUUGUUGGUGAGGUAACGGCUCACCAAGACCGCGAUGGGUAGCUGGUCUGAGAGGAGGAUCAGCCACACUGGGACUGAGACACGGCCCAGACUCCUACGGGAGGCAGCAGUGGGGAAUCUUGCGCAAUGCGCGAAAGCGUGACGCAGCAACGCCGCGUGGGGGAAGAAGGCCUUCGGGUUGUAAACCCCUUUCAGGAGGGACGAAGGUUCGGCAGUUAACAGCUGUCCGGACUGACGGUACCUCCACAAGAAGCCCCGGCUAACUACGUGCCAGCCGCCGCCAGUAA
rnacentral:rRNA from 1 species